rnacentral:rRNA from 1 species
AACGAACGCUGGCGGCAUGCCUAAUACAUGCAAGUCGAACGAGAUCUUCGGAUCUAGUGGCGCACGGGUGCGUAACGCGUGGGAAUCUGCCCUUGGGUUCGGAAUAACUUCUGGAAACGGAAGCUAAUACCGGAUGAUGACGUAAGUCCAAAGAUUUAUCGCCCAAGGAUGAGCCCGCGUAGGAUUAGCUAGUUGGUGGG